rnacentral:lncRNA from 1 species
CUGAAAUUAUCACCCAAAGCUACACUGCAGUGCUUGUAAUUGAAAGCCACAUAAGAGCAUUUGAAGACCCUGAAUUAAGGCAGCUAAGCUAAACAAUGCAGGGAAAAUAAUGAGGAGUGUGAGUAAUGGAACAUCCCUUAAGUGCUUCAGCUGCAAAGGGACUGAUACACAGCUCAAUAGCAUGUCUAUCAGGACAAAAGUGGCAGAAAAAAUGCAAGUGACAAAAUGGCAGGAGGAAAAAUGAACCUCUAGAAUCAGCAAAAGUGAGAACUCUUCCAUGUACUAAAUUCAUAAUAGAAAGGAGUUCUCGUGAAACCCGACAAGAAGAAGUGCUGCUUCACCACUGUACUGCUGUUGUUACGAAAAGCAACAAUUCUUGCACUGCCUACCAGAGAUGAUGAGGAACAGAUGGCCUGUGGGUGAACAGAGGAUGAGUCACAGGCAGGCUAUGGAGGCACACAGAAGAACCACUGAGGAUCUGUCCUGUCAGAUGGUCUUCUGCCCUGCAAGCAACGUGACAUCCAUCACAACCAGAUAGGAAUGGUAAGGAAGAAUGUAUGCUGAGGUUGCAAGAAACAACAUCUCUCUGCUCCUGACAGAUCAACUCUAAUGCUCUGAGCUCAUGGGUACUCGCACUGUUUUCUUCUGGGACAGCUCUUGGAGGAACUAAGCAAGACUCCUUAUCACAAGAAUAUGUCAUGACAGACAGCUUAUUUCUUACAUGCUAGUAAAUUUUUCCUCAUUUCUUUAUUUAAAGAAAUUCUCUCUGUUUUUCACUUGAGAUAUUAGCAGUCUGGCAUAGUUUAGUUCAUCAUACUUAAGACAUUUACUUUGUAUUAUCAUAUGACAUAAUAUAUAUAUUGCACUGAUAUUGUAACUGAUAUCGUAAUUCAGUGCAAUAGCAUUUACAUACUAUUACACUUUAGAACUGCCUGGAGCCUGCAAAAUUAUUUUCUAGUGUUAAGAUGAGGGAUGUACAGAGUAGUUGCACUAAUAUCAGUGUAGCUGCACUGGUAUUUGCUGAAUUUGCCCUUUUCUUAUUGUUCCUUAGCUGACAGGAAAUUGAGUCAGUGAUAAUGCCAAUAGUACGUGAAAUCAGAUUUUGAGUCAAUCAGACAUCUGAAGAAACAACAAAACAAAAAUGUUGCAGACAUGCAUAGAGGUAAUUAACUUUUUGUUUCUAGAGAUAUGAUUGAUCCCUACAUGAAAGUAAGUCAUGAAAAAUGUGUACUCAUACAGAGGGAUUCUCUAUAUAAAAUAAACCCAAGAAUGAUAAAUUAAGUAAUCUUUGU